rnacentral:lncRNA from 1 species
AUGUCUCCCAAGUUCCCCGCACCCAGCGAAGGCACAAAGGCAGGGCGGGACCCAGGGGUGACUGUUUCUCGAGGGCUAGGGCCCGCCGUCGUGCGUGGCGCUGUACAGCGAGGGGAGACGAGCUGGAGGGACAAUGACAAUGUGCUCUCAGCCGUGGGCGUGGGGAGGGCACCGGCCAGCGGGGCUGGGCGGCCUCGUAGAGAUCCACCCGCUCGGGCGGGCGAACGCAGCCGCGGCUCCGCCCUGGGCCUGGCCGGGCUCCACAGGAAACUGCUGCUGCUCCCCUCUCCGCCUGGCCCCGCCGCGGGCUUCGCCUCCAGCCGCCGCCGGGGCUGCGGACCAGCCGCUUUCACUUUCGCCUUCGAGUCGUCUCCGCUGCUGGAGCCCCGGGACCCCCGCGCGCGGUCAGGUUGAAUACAUGGAGAGAGAAGAAGCAAGCUACCUAAGGAGCUUGGGGAACCCCUUCAAGAACAUUGGACCUUUGUAAGUAGGAUCAGCAUUUUGACCGGAACUUGAAUGCCUCAAAGAUUGAAGUGCAGCAGGAACUUGGAUGUCUUGAAAGGUUGCUCAGUAAAUCAUCAAUUCAAGCAGGGCCUGU